rnacentral:rRNA from 1 species
UGGUGGAUCGAUUUGUCUGGUUAAUUCCGAUAACGAACGAGACUCUUUUCUGCUAAAUAGGUGCCCAGUUUUAUGAAUUUCUUCCCUGUGUCGGGUGCGGUGCGGUUUCGGCCGUGCCGUGCCCGCGCUCGGAUCGCUGGGCACGUCAUUCUUCUUAGAGGGACAAGCGGCGUCUAGUCGCAUGAAAAAGAGCAAUAACA